rnacentral:lncRNA from 1 species
CUAAAUUCUCUCCUUCACUGGAAUUCACAUGUUAACAGAAGUCAUUUUCAUUUAAUGGACCUAUUGCUAUAUAUCAGAUGGGAGACUGUGAGUCAGCCUGGAUCUUGUCUAAACACCCAAGAGCAUUGUCAUGAUGUCACUCCUGGAGGUUGUUCUAUUAAGCAUUAGUGAUUUAUACUUCCGGAUAACCAGUGGCACAGAUGUACUCUUUACAUAGCUGAUGUAUUUCCUUAUGUUAACUUUGUUUUCCUAAAGGCGUAAAUAUGUUGUUUAAAAUGAAGUAUUUUGUUUGUACAAAUAUGCUCAAUUUAUGCAUAUAAAUCUCCCUUUACACCAUCUAUAUAGUUUAAUAAAG